rnacentral:rRNA from 1 species
UGGGUAUCCCGGGGAAGCUUACACAUGCAGUCGAACGGCAGCACGGACUUCGGUCUGGUGGCGAGUGGCGAACGGGUGAGUAAUGUAUCGGAACGUGCCCAGUAGCGGGGGAUAACUACGCGAAAGCGUAGCUAAUACCGCAUACGCCCUACGGGGGAAAGCAGGGGAUCGCAAGACCUUGCACUAUUGGAGCGGCCGAUAUCGGAUUAGCUAGUUGGUGGGGUAACGGCUCACCAAGGCGACGAUCCGUAGCUGGUUUGAGAGGACGACCAGCCACACUGGGACUGAGACACGGCCCAGACUCCUACGGGAGGCAGCAGUGGGGAAUUUUGGACAAUGGGGGAAACCCUGAUCCAGCCAUCCCGCGUGUGCGAUGAAGGCCUUCGGGUUGUAAAGCACUUUUGGCAGGAAAGAAACGUCGUGGGUUAAUACCCCGCGAAACUGACGGUACCUGCAGAAUAAGCACCGGCUAACUACGUGCCAGCAGCCGCGGUAAUACGUAGGGUGCAAGCGUUAAUCGGAAUUACUGGGCGUAAAGCGUGCGCAGGCGGUUCGGAAAGAAAGAUGUGAAAUCCCAGAGCUUAACUUUGGAACUGCAUUUUUAACUACCGAGCUAGAGUGUGUCAGAGGGAGGUGG